rnacentral:rRNA from 1 species
GCCCUGGCAGUCAGAGGCGAUGAAGGACGUGCUAAUCUGCGAUAAGCGUCGGUAAGGUGAUAUGAACCGUUAUAACCGGCGAUUUCCGAAUGGGGAAACCCAGUGUGAUUCGUCACACUAUCAUUAACUGAAUCCAUAGGUUAAUGAGGCGAACCGGGGGAACUGAAACAUCUAAGUACCCCGAGGAAAAGAAAUCAACCGAGAUUCCCCCAGUAGCGGCGAGCGAACGGGGAGGAGCCCAGAGCCUGAAUCAGUGUGUGUGUUAGUGGAAGCGUCUGGAAAGGCGCGCGAUACAGGGUGACAGCCCCGUACACAAAAAUGCACAUGCUGUGAGCUCGAUGAGUAGGGCGGGACACGUGGUAUCCUGUCUGAAUAUGGGGGGACCAUCCUCCAAGGCUAAAUACUCCUGACUGACCGAUAGUGAACCAGUACCGUGAGGGAAAGGCGAAAAGAACCCCGGCGAGGGGAGUGAAAAAGAACCUGAAACCGUGUACGUACAAGCAGUGGGAGCACAGAGCAAUCUGUGUGACUGCGUACCUUUUGUAUAAUGGGUCAGCGACUUAUAUUCUGUAGCAAGGUUAACCGAAUAGGGGAGCCGAAGGGAAACCGAGUCUUAACUGGGCGUUAAGUUGCAGGGUAUAGACCCGAAACCCGGUGAUCUAGCCAUGGGCAGGUUGAAGGUUGGGUAACACUAACUGGAGGACCGAACCGACUAAUGUUGAAAAAUUAGCGGAUGACUUGUGGCUGGGGGUGAAAGGCCAAUCAAACCGGGAGAUAGCUGGUUCUCCCCGAAAGCUAUUUAGGUAGCGCCUCGUGAAUUCAUCUCCGGGGGUAGAGCACUGUUUCGGCAAGGGGGUCA